rnacentral:rRNA from 1 species
GGAGGUAGUGACAAUAAAUCACAAUGCGGAACAAUGUUUUGCAAUUGGAUUGAGAACAACGUACAAACCUUAUCGAUAAACAAUUGGAGGGCAAGUCUGGUGCCAGCAGCCGCGGUAAUUCCAGCUCCAAUAGCGUAUAUUAACGUUGUUGCAGUUAAAAAGCUCGUAGUUGAAAUGAAGGGUAGUUGUGUAAUGAAUACAUUCGUGUAUUUUGUUAUUCUACUACCCUCCUUCUAAAUUCGAUAUAUGAGUAUUAAUUUACUUGUAUAUGGUUUUAGACUUUUACUGUGAGAAAAUUAGAGUGUUCAAAGCAGGCAUUUGCUUGAAUAUAUUAGCAUGGAAUAAUCAUGUAUGAUUUUCAUGAUGUAUUUGAUUGGUUUGGUUCAUGAGAAUAAGAUUAAAAGGGACAGUUGGGGGUAUUCAUAUUCAAUAGUCAGAGGUGAAAUUCUCGGAUUUAUGGAAGAUGAACAAGUGCGAAAGCAUUUACCAAGGAUGUUUUCAUUAAUCAAGAACGAAAGU